CUGGCGUCAGGAUGAACGCUGGCGGCGUGCCUAACACAUGCAAGUCGAACGAGGGUGCUUGCACCCUAGUGGCGAACGGGUGAGUAACACGUAGGUAACCUGCCUUUAAGCUUGGGAUACCCAGAGGAAACUUUGGCUAAUACCGGAUAACAAUGGAAGAGGCAUCUCUUCUAUUUAAAAGGCCCGUAUGGGUCACUUAAAGAUGGACCUGCGGCGCAUUAGCUAGUUGGUGAGAUAACAGCCCACCAAGGCAAGGAUGCGUAGCCGACCUGAGAGGGUGAUCGGCCACAUUGGAACUGAGACACGGUCCAAACUCCUACGGGAGGCAGCAGUGAGGAGUUUUCGGCAAUGGGGGAAACCCUGACCGAGCAACGCCGCGUGAAUGAUGACGGCCCUAUGGGUUGUAAAGUUCUUUUAUUAGGGACGAAUGAUUAGCUUAGGAAAUGAAGCUAGUUUGACGGUACCUUUUGAAUAAGCCACGGCUAACUACGUGCCAGCAGCAGC
rnacentral:rRNA from 1 species